CAACUGAGAAGACCAGACCCAACAGCAGCCCUGCUAUCCCAACAAUGAUCUUAUUCAUCCCUGAGUCAGACAAGGAUAACACACAAACUACUGAAUGGAUUUAAAAAAAACUUGGAUGGAAGAUGGAGGAAAAGACCACAUUAACUUCUGGGAUGGAAAGGAACAGUGUUUCAUAUACUGUAUGUUCCUGUGCCUGUUAAAGAUCUUGAAAGUUGGCACCAACAGAAGCUCCUCUCUACCACAGAAAGAAAGCAGAGCUCCUGAGACGACUUGUAGUAGUCUUUAAUUCCAUGACUUUGUG